CCGCCAGCGGCAGGGGAGCGGGCAGGCGGGGGCGGCCCGGUGCUGCCAGCGCCCGCCGCGGAAAACUGCGGGGCGCAGGAUGAAUGUGAUCAACAUGUGUCUGUGCUAAUCAUUUUCCGCUCCCACCAGACUUACCCGCAGGUUCUGGAGGGUCUUUUCAUCUCUGUCAUCAUCUCUGUAGAAUUUCCCCAGAACCACCUUGAGUUCAGCUGUCUUGAGUACGAUGGCCUUGCCCAGGUCCGUGACGCAGUGAGCUGCCACCACCACAGUGCGCUCGUUCACCAAGGCCCCGCUGCAGAUAAGGAUCCAUGUCCCUUUCCGGAGGCUGCUCUCCUUCACCCCGUUGGCUGUCCGAUAGAUCGCCGCUUGCCAGGGCCACCUGGUAGAGGUCACUGUCUUUUGAAGAGUGAUGUUUUCUGCUUUUCCGCAGACUGAGGAAACAUGAACCAAGAGUGAGUUUCUGGAUUGUAUCCAGUUGCUUCUGAAUGUGGAACAGUUCCUGCCAUUCACAAAAGGACUGGGAUAGCAUGUUUUUAACAGAGAAAUUACACUGGAAGUUGGCAUUGCCAUAAUUACUUCUCCCUGGAGAGGAGUUAGACACAUCUUUUCUCUGGUGAACAUUUUAAUAGGAAGCAUUAGAAAUCGAUUCAGAUUAAAUCAUGUUGAUAAAGUUCCUUGAUUUAGCAAUUAACAGAGAUAAUUACUUCACCACAGAGACUUCAUAAUUGCAAUAAGCACUAAGCUUCCAUUUAGAAAUUGUACUGAUUAGCUGAAACAUGGCACAUAAUUAAAAAAAUAAAUACAUGCAUCAGCCUGGAUAUGGACCAUGAA